rnacentral:rRNA from 1 species
GCCGGAAACGCUCCGGCGCCACAGGAUGCGGCUGCGGUCGAUUAGGUAGACGGUGGGGUAACGGCCCACCGUGCCCAUAAUCGGUACGGGUUGUGAGAGCAAGAGCCCGGAGACGGAAUCUGAGACAAGAUUCCGGGCCCUACGGGGCGCAGCAGGCGCGAAACCUUUACACUGUACGAAAGUGCGAUAAGGGGACUCCGAGUGUGAAGGCAUAGAGCCUUCACUUUUGUACACCGUAAGGUGGUGUACGAAUAAGGACUGGGCAAGACCGGUGCCAGCCGCCGCGGUAAUACCGGCAGUCCGAGUGAUGGCCGAUAUUAUUGGGCCUAAAGCGUCCGUAGCUGGCUGAACAAGUCCGUUGGGAAAUCUGUCCGCUUAACGGGCAGGCGUCCAGCGGAAACUGUUCAGCUUGGGACCGGAAGACCUGAGGGGUACGUCUGGGGUAGGAGUGAAAUCCUGUAAUCCUGGACGGACCGCCGGUGGCGAAAGCGCCUCAGGAGAACGGAUCCGACAGUGAGGGACGAAAGCUAGGGUCUCGAACCGGAUUAGAUACCCGGGUAGUCCUAG